UGGUCUGACAUUGAAAACCGAAACCAGGAAAAAGAGAAAGAGAGAGAGAGAGCGAGAUUUGAUUGAGCCCUGUUUAGGAGGGAAAAUCCCCUCACCAUUUAAGACCCCUCCCCAUCCAUCUAAAUGCCGCUACAGCAACUGAGACUCAUUACUCCCUCCCCACCCACUUGAAGUUAGCGCACAUAAAACUCCAUUGGAGCCCAGCUCCCUCACAGUAGUGACUCCACAGAGUGAGAGAGAGACACAGGGAGAGAGAAGUGGGGAAGAAUGUUCGCAGCUGAGAACGGGCUGAGAGGAGACCCCAGGCUCCAGGCCAUCUCUCGGGCCAUCCGGGUCGUCCCCGACUUCCCCAAGCCAGGGAUCAUGUUCCAAGACAUAACGACGCUGUUGCUGGAUCACAAGGCGUUCAAGGACACGGUGGACAUCUUCGUUGACCGGUACCGUGACAUGGACAUCUCUGUCGUUGCAGGGGUAGAAGCCAGAGGAUUCAUGUUUGGUCCGGCAAUUGCAUUAGCUAUCGGCGCAAAGUUUGUUCCUUUGCGUAAGCCCAGGAAGUUGCCAGGUGAAGUAAUAUCAGAAUCUUACGUCUUGGAGUAUGGAACUGACUGUCUCGAAAUGCAUGUGGGUGCUGUUGAGCCCGGGGAGCGUGCAAUAGUGAUCGAUGAUUUGGUAGCCACAGGUGGGACCUUGUCUGCUGCCAUAAAACUUUUGGAACGAGUUGGGGCUGAAGUAGUUGAAUGUGCUUGUGUUAUUGGCUUGCCUGAGGUCAAGGAUCGCCGCCGGAUUAGGGGGAAGCCACUUUAUAUUCUCGUGGAGCCUCGGCUAUUAGAUGAAUGCCGUUGAGCUUUCUAGUCAAAGGUCGUGCUUGGGUUGAUGAAGAGAAAUGUGAUGCUUGAGCUGCAAUGGUUAGUGAAGAGUGGAUUCUCUGCCCCACCUGGGUCAAAUGCAUCUUGUCCUCUGCUCCAGAUAUCUUUAGUUUGUGCACCGUUUCAUUUGUAGUUCUGAACAAAUUAUCAUUAGGAAUACCCUCAGCGGGUCUUGUUUUUUUUUUUUCUAUGUUUUUAUGU